rnacentral:tRNA from 1 species
CACUGAGAAGCUUUAAUUGGAGUAAGCGUUAGCCUUUUAAGCUAAAAUAUGGUGCCUCCCGACCACCCUCAGUGA